rnacentral:rRNA from 1 species
UCCUGGCUCAGGACGAACGCUGGCGGCGCGCCUAACACAUGCAAGUCGAACGGAGCUUAGAGAGCUUGCUUUUUAAGCUUAGUGGCGAACGGGUGAGUAACGCGUGAGUAACCUGCCCUAGAGUGGGGGACAACAGUUGGAAACGACUGCUAAUACCGCAUAAGCCCACGGUGCCGCAUGACACUGAGGGAAAAGGAUUUAUUCGCUUUAGGAUGGACUCGCGUCCAAUUAGCUAGUUGGUGAGGUAACGGCCCACCAAGGCGACGAUUGGUAGCCGGACUGAGAGGUUGAACGGCCACAUUGGGACUGAGACACGGCCCAGACUCCUACGGGAGGCAGCAGUGGGGGAUAUUGCACAAUGGGGGAAACCCUGAUGCAGCGACGCCGCGUGGAGGAAGAAGGUCUUCGGAUUGUAAACUCCUGUUGUUGAGGAAGAUAAUGACGGUACUCAACAAGGAAGUGACGGCUAACUACGUGCCAGCAGCCGCGGUAAAACGUAGGUCACAAGCGUUGUCCGGAAUUACUGGGUGUAAAGGGAGCGCAGGCGGGAAGACAAGUUGGAAGUGAAAUCCAUGGGCUCAACCCAUGAACUGCUUUCAAAACUGUUUUUCUUGAGUAGUGCAGAGGUAGGCGGAAUUCCCGGUGUAGCGGUGGAAUGCGUAGAUAUCGGGAGGAACACCAGUGGCGAAGGCGGCCUACUGGGCACCAACUGACGCUGAGGCUCGAAAGUGUGGGUAGCAAACAGGAUUAGAUACCCUGGUAGUCCACACUGUAAACGAUGAUUACUAGGUGUUGGAGGAUUGACCCCUUCAGUGCCGCAGUUAACACAAUAAGUAAUCCACCUGGGGAGUACGACCGCAAGGUUGAAACUCAAAGGAAUUGACGGGGGCCCGCACAAGCAGUGGAGUAUGUGGUUUAAUUCGAAGCAACGCGAAGAACCUUACCAGGUCUUGACAUCCGACUAACGAGAUAGAGAUAUGUCAGGUGCCCUUCGGGGAAAGUCGAGACAGGUGGUGCAUGGUUGUCGUCAGCUCGUGUCGUGAGAUGUUGGGUUAAGU